rnacentral:rRNA from 1 species
CGAGCGUACACAGGUGCUGCAUGGCUGUCGUCAGCUCGUGUCGUGAAGAUGUUGGGUUUAAGUCCCGCAACGAGCGCAACCCCUGCAUUCAGUGCCAUCGGGUAAUGCCGGGCACUCUGGAAGGACUGCCAUCGACAAGAUGGAGGAAGGUGGGGAUGACGUCAAGUCAUCAUGGCCCUUAUGUCCAGGGCGACACACGUGCUACAAUGGCCGGCACAACGGGAAGCGAGUUCGCGAGGACGAGCGGAUCCCUCAAAGCCGGUCGCAGUUCGGAUUGAAGUCUGCAACUCGACUUCAUGAAGCUGGAAUCGCUAGUAAUCGUGGAUCAGCCAAGCCGCGGUGAAUACGUUCCCGGGCCUU